CGUGUGUUGGGUCGCCAGGAACAAGAAGGAGAGAAGAACUCCCCUCAUCUUCACAAAGUUAGCAAAUUGAAGCCCUAAUUAUGGCCAUAGCCCUUGCAUGUUAAUGGAUUCUUGAUCAUCUAGUCCUAACAAAGCUCAAGGGAUUAAAGAAGAAAGCUCGAGUCACUCCGGAUCACAUACAAACAACGACAAAGGUAAAGCUACUUGAUGGAUGGCAUGGUUGGACCGAACACACUUGUGAUGCACGCUUCCGCGAAGUCUCUAGUCAUGGUCUAAACUUUUGUUAAAUGUUUUCUUUCGUUAAAAACGGGUCUUUUGUAUGUAAGUUAGCCCGGAAGUAGUUAGAUGUUGAACUUGUAGUCAAGAACUUGGUUAUAUUUUGUGAAACAUUUGGGGUUCAAAACUUGUUCAUAACUAUAUAGUUGGUUAAUGCAAAAAUUUACUUAUGAAUUAUUCGACCCGUUUACCACUUUGUCAAAUGCAA